GGAGAGAUGGCAGAGCGGCCGAAUGCACCGCACUCGAAAUGCGGCAGUCCCUAGUGGACUCGGGGGUUCAAAUCCCCCUCUCUCCGCCA
rnacentral:tRNA from 1 species